AAUGCCUAGGAAUCUGCCUGGUAGUGGGGGAUAACGUCCGGAAACGGACGCUAAUACCGCAUACGUCCUACGGGAGAAAGCAGGGGACCUUCGGGCCUUGCGCUAUCAGAUGAGCCUAGGUCGGAUUAGCUAGUUGGUGGGGUAAUGGCUCACCAAGGCGACGAUCCGUAACUGGUCUGAGAGGAUGAUCAGUCACACUGGAACUGAGACACGGUCCAGACUCCUACGGGAGGCAGCAGUGGGGAAUAUUGGACAAUGGGCGAAAGCCUGAUCCAGCCAUGCCGCGUGUGUGAAGAAGGUCUUCGGAUUGUAAAGCACUUUAAGUUGGGGGGAAGGGCAGUAAAUUAAUACUUUGCUGUUUUGACGUUACCGACAGAAUAAGCACCGGCUAACUCUGUGCCAGCAGCCGCGGUAAUACAGAGGGUGCAAGCGUUAAUCGGAAUUACUGGGCGUAAAGCGCGCGUAGGUGGUUCGUUAAGUUGGAUGUGAAAUCCCCGGGCUCAACCUGGGAACUGCAUUCAAAACUGACGAGCUAGAGUAUGGUAGAGGGUGGUGGAAUUUCCUGUGUAGCGGUGAAAUGCGUA
rnacentral:rRNA from 1 species